rnacentral:rRNA from 1 species
CGCGAACGCUGGCGGCAUGCUUAACACAUGCAAGUCGCACGGGAGGGGCAACCCUUCAGUGGCGGACGGGUGAGUAACGCGUAGGUAUCUGUCUCUGGGUGGGGGAUAACCAUGGGAAACUAUGGCUAAUACCGCAUGAAGCCUGAGGGCCAAAGCAGCGAUGCGCCUGGAGAGGAGCCUGCGUACGAUUAGCUAGUUGGUGGGGUAAAGGCCCACCAAGGCGACGAUCGUUAGCUGGUCUGAGAGGAUGAUCAGCCACACUGGGACUGAGACACGGCCCAGACUCCGUACGGGAGGCAGCAGUGGGGAAUAUUGGACAAGUGGGCGCAAGCCUGAUCCAGCAAUGCCGCGUGAGUGAAGAAGGUCUUCGG